rnacentral:rRNA from 1 species
GAUGAACGCUGGCGGCGUGCCUAAUACAUGCAAGUCGAGCGAACAGACGAGGAGCUUGCUCCUCUGACGUUAGCGGCGGACGGGUGAGUAACACGUGGAUAACCUACCUAUAAGACUGGGAUAACUUCGGGAAACCGGAGCUAAUACCGGAUAAUAUAUUGAACCGCAUGGUUCAAUAGUGAAAGACGGUUUUGCUGUCACUUAUAGAUGGAUCCGCGCCGGAUUAGCUAGUUGGUAAGGUAACGGCUUACCAAGGCAACGAUGCGUAGCCGACCUGAGAGGGUGAUCGGCCACACUGGAACUGAGACACGGUCCAGAAUCCUACGGGAGGCAGCAGUAGGGAAUCUUCCGCAAUGGGCGAAAGCCUGACGGAGCAACGCCGCGUGAGUGAUGAAGGUCUUCGGAUCGUAAAACUCUGUUAUUAGGGAAGAACAAAUGUGUAAGUAACUAUGCACGUCUUGACGGUACCUAAUCAGAAAGCCACGGCUAACUACGUG